GAUGAACGCUGGCGGCGUGCCUAAUACAUGCAAGUCGAGCGAACGGACGAGAAGCUUGCUUCUCUGAUGUUAGCGGCGGACGGGUGAGUAACACGUGGAUAACCUACCUAUAAGACUGGGAUAACUUCGGGAAACCGGAGCUAAUACCGGAUAAUAUUUUGAACCGCAUGGUUCAAAAGUGAAAGACGGUCUUGCUGUCACUUAUAGAUGGAUCCGCGCUGCAUUAGCUAGUUGGUAAGGUAACGGCUUACCAAGGCAACGAUGCAUAGCCGACCUGAGAGGGUGAUCGGCCACACUGGAACUGAGACACGGUCCAGACUCCUACGGGAGGCAGCAGUAGGGAAUCUUCCGCAAUGGGCGAAAGCCUGACGGAGCAACGCCGCGUGAGUGAUGAAGGCCUUCGGAUCGUAAAACUCUGUUAUUAGGGAAGAACAUAUGUGUAAGUAACUGUGCACAUCUUGACGGUACCUAAUCAGAAAGCCACGGCUAACUACGUGCCAGCAGCCGCGGUAAUACGUAGGUGGCAAGCGUUAUCCGGAAUUAUUGGGCGUAAAGCGCGCGUAGGCGGUUUUUUAAGUCUGAUGUGAAAGCCCACGGCUCAACCGUGGAGGGUCAUUGGAAACUGGAAAACUUGAGUGCAGAAGAGGAAAGUGGAAUUCCAUGUGUAGCGGUGAAAUGCGCAGAGAUAUGGAGGAACACCAGUGGCGAAGGCGACUUUCUGGUCUGUAACUGACGCUGAUGUGCGAAAGCGUGGGGAUCAAACAGGAUUAGAUACCCUGGUAGUCCACGCCGUAAACGAUGAGUGCUAAGUGUUAGGGGGUUUCCGCCCCUUAGUGCUGCAGCUAACGCAUUAAGCACUCCGCCUGGGGAGUACGACCGCAAGGUUGAAACUCAAAGGAAUUGACGGGGACCCGCACAAGCGGUGGAGCAUGCGGUUUAAUUCGAAGCAACGCGAAGAACCUUACCAAAUCUUGACAUCCUUUGACAACUCUAGAGAUAGAGCUUUCCCCUUCGGGGGACAAAGUGACAGGUGGUGCAUGGUUGUCGUCAGCUCGUGUCGUGAGAUGUUGGGUUAAGUCCCGCAACGAGCGCAACCCUUAAGCUUAGUUGCCAUCAUUAAGUUGGGCACUCUAAGUUGACUGCCGGUGACAAACCGGAGGAAGGUGGGGAUGACGUCAAAUCAUCAUGCCCCUUAUGAUUUGGGCUACACACGUGCUACAAUGGACAAUACAAAGGGCAGCGAAACCGCGAGGUCAAGCAAAUCCCAUAAAGUUGUUCUCAGUUCGGAUUGUAGUCUGCAACUCGACUACAUGAAGCUGGAAUCGCUAGUAAUCGUAGAUCAGCAUGCUACGGUGAAUACGUUCCCGGGUCU
rnacentral:rRNA from 1 species